AUUGUAUUUUGUAUUUUACGUGGAGCGACAGCAAGCUGUCGUUCCACGCAUGUGUUUGACACCGGAUCUCAAUCGAGCAGCUAACUGAACAACCAAAACAUUCUAUUUAUUAAGAAAUUACAGUUAUAACUAACUAACUAAUUAAGUAUUUUAUUUGCAUUUGUUGUUGCAUUUGUUACUAAGGCCAAUUUAGUUUCCUAGUUAAGUUCAUGAUGUUCAACAAGUGUGCGAAAGCUUUUCAUUAUUUAUUUAUUUCUGUUGCAUGUGGGGUUAGGGCCGAAAAGCUUCAGACCUCCCAUAAAUUGGUGGGGGGGGGGGGGUCAGGCCUAGGCGGGUUUUCGGCAUUUUUGGUUUGGUUUGGCGGCGACAGAAAUUUUGUAGUUUUUAGUCGCGUUUCGGCCAAGCAAAGUGACGGAUAAACAAUUUGAUUUUAAAUAAAUAAAUAAAUUUGAGAAAUAAAAUAAUUGUAUAAA